UUGGCCUGCAGGGGGAGCCAGAGCAGACAGUUAGCUGACAGUUUGGAUAACUUUGGAUGGGGUUGACUAGCAUUUGGAGCCAGAUUUAAGCAGCAGUUGGAGAAACGGUACUGAUCAUUUUUCAGUUCAGGCUGGCGCAGGGUCCAAACACUGGCCCGUGGUCCUUUACGGUGAGACGCUCCAGCUUGGACCUGAGAGCCUGCUCCUCCUCCGACACCAUACGCACGAUACGUCAAUGCAGUGAUCCAGGGCAACAGAAGUAAAAAGGUAUAAGGCAGCUGACUAUGUUCUCAUCAGUAAGCCAAAUGCAACACUUUUGGGUGUUUUUUUUGCUCCAAUUUUUCACAAGUUGAAGUGAAAGUCGUUUUUUUCUGUGCAGACAAAAGAUUUACAUCUGUCAGAUUAUGAGCAGGUAUCCUGCAGUGAGCAGUCCUUAAAAACUGGCCACACCUGUCAGGUGGAUGGAUCUUCACACACACUCAUUAACACCGAUUUACCUUAAACCAAA